UACGAAGGGGGCUAGCGUUGCUCGGAAUUACUGGGCGUAAAGGGCGCGUAGGCGGAUCGUUAAGUCAGAGGUGAAAUCCCGGAGCUCAACUUCGGAAUUGCCUUUGAUACUGGCGAUCUUGAGUGUGAGAGAGGUAUGUGGAACUCCGAGUGUAGAGGUGAAAUUCGUAGACAUUCGGAAGAACACCAGUGGCGAAGGCGACAUACUGGCUCAUUACUGACGCUG
rnacentral:rRNA from 1 species